GCCAGAGUGGCAUAAUGGUUUGAGUCUUGGACUUAGACUCUGGAGACCAGGAUUCGAUUCCCAGCUCAGCCA